UACGUAGGGUCCGAGCGUUGUCCGGAAUUAUUGGGCGUAAAGAGCUCGUAGGCGGUCUGUUGCGUCGGCUGUGAAAACCCGGGGCUCAACUCCGGGCCUGCAGUCGAUACGGGCAGACUAGAGUUCGGUAGGGGAGACUGGAAUUCCUGGCGUAGCGGUGAAAUGCGCAGAUAUCAGGAGGAACACCGGUGGCGAAGGCGGGUCUCUGGGCCGAAACUGACGCUGAGGAGCGAAAGCGUGGGGAGCGAACAGG
rnacentral:rRNA from 1 species